rnacentral:rRNA from 1 species
UCCACAAUGGGCGAAACCCUGAUGGAGCAACGCCGCGUGUGUGAUGAAGGCUUUCGGGUCGUAAAGCACUGUCGUAUGGGAAGAAAAGUUAAGGUAGGGAAUGACCUUAGCCUGACGGUACCAUACCAGAAAGGGACGGCUAAAUACGUGCCAGCAGCCGCGGUAAUACGUAUGUCCCGAGCGUUAUCCGGAUUUAUUGGGCGUAAAGCGAGCGCAGACGGUUGGUUAAGUCUGAUGUGAAAGCCCGGAGCUCAACUCCGGAAAGGCAUGGAAACUGGUAAC